rnacentral:rRNA from 1 species
AUUGAACGCUGGCGGCAUGCCUUACACAUGCAAGUCGAACGGCAGCAUGGAGAGCUUGCUCUCUGAUGGCGAGUGGCGAACGGGUGAGUAAUGCAUCGGAACGUACCGUGUAAUGGGGGAUAACGCAGCGAAAGUUACGCUAAUACCGCAUACGACCUGAGGGUGAAAGCAGGGGAUCGCAAGACCUUGCGUUAUACGAGCGGCCGAUGUCAGAUUAGCUAGUUGGUGAGGUAAAGACUCACCAAGGCGACGGUCUGUAGCGGGUCUGAGAGGAUGAUCCGCCACACUGGGACUGAGACACGGCCCAGACUCCUACGGGAGGCAGCAGUGGGGAAUUUUGGACAAUGGGGGCAACCCUGAUCCAGCCAUGCCGCGUGAGUGAAGAAGGCCUUCGGGUUGUAAAGCUCUUUCGCGAGGGAAGAAAGCGCACUGGUUAAUACCUGGUGUGGAUGACGGUACCUUGAUAAGAAGCACCGGCUAACUACGUGCCAGCCGCCGCAGUAA